GCAGCCUUAUGUGCAGAUGGUCCUCAACAA
rnacentral:piRNA from 1 species